CCGCAGCUCGCCCCAGGAGCUGCACCGCGCCGGGGGCGCGCACGAUUCCCCACGGCCGCUGCUUGCGGGCGCGCUCCCGGCCAGCCGCUGCCUCGCGUGUGCGCGCCUGUGCGGGGGCGCGCAGCCCCCCCGGAGGCCGUGCCAUGCCCGCCCGUGCCCCGCGGGCAGCCCCCCCGUUUCCCUCCCGCACCGGAGCGGGGCUGAGCCGGGGAGCGAUGGAGAGCGGAGCGAAGGCAGCGCUCGGCUUUUAAACGCCGAUCCGGCCCUUUUUGCCCCCCCUUUUUUUUUUUUUUUUUUUUUUUUUUUUUAAUUUCCUUCUUCCCCCACACCCCCCCAAGUGAUGCGGCUGCGGAGAAAGCAGCAAAUCCCCCGGCUGUGCGCGCCCUGCCCGGGAUGCUCCAUCCCCGCCUGUGCCGCCCGGGUGCCUGCGCGGCUGGGAGCGCUGCCUAGGGGCGGCGGGGCAGGGGAAAACACGGCUUGAAGGGGGUGGCACGGGCCUGGGGGGGCCACCUCCGAGGGGCUGCAGGUGGCUUCGAGGCAGGGCUUUGGGGCUCCUGCCGCCUCGUGGGGCAUGGCACGCGUGGGAGCCGGGAGCGCUCGCCCCUGCGGGAGCAGAAUAUGGCUGGUGUUUGAUGAUGCUGGGGCUAGCGUUUAGGAUCCAGAAGGACGCUUUGCCACUGUGUGGGCUGAGGUAGGUAGGUAACAGUGCCUGCUGCUAUCAGCUCGUGUGCUGCAGGCAAUUUGUAAGCGUAGUAUGUGAUAUGCAGCCAGCGGUGCUUGCUUGACUUAUGUUCCUAAAUGUGCCGGGGUGUUUUAUGUGCUUUUGUUUUCUUAUUGAUGGGCGCCUUGUGAUAUAGCGGUG
rnacentral:lncRNA from 1 species